UACGUAGGGGGCUAGCGUUGUUCGGAAUUACUGGGCGUAAAGCGAACGUAGGCGGUGUUCCAUGUCAGAGGUGAAAGCCUGGGGCUCAACUCCAGAAUUGCCUUUGAAACGGGGACGCUUGAGUCCGAGAGAGGGUGGCGGAAUUCCUAGUGUAGAGGUGAAAUUCGUAGAUAUUAGGAAGAACACCAGUGGCGAAGGCGGCCACCUGGCUCGGUACUGACGCUCAGGUUCGAAAGCGUGGGGAGCAAACGGG
rnacentral:rRNA from 1 species